UGUGAACUGUGCAAUCAAGAAAAUUAACGAACAAGAGAAAGGAAGCGUCAGGUGUCUCCUGGAGUUCCCCUGACCACUUCACUGGGGUGGGCUACAGUUUCCAGGAAACCCUACUGAAGUGUUUGGGGGAACUCCGGUGGCCAUUUGACACUGCUCUACAACAAGUCACUGUUCUUGUAUGAACAGGAUCUUCUUUCUUUCAAUUAUUGUGAAUAUUACUGCUUUCUGUAGAGCUCAAUUUCAAUGUUCCGCAGUAGGAAGAUCAGGCUCCUGUUCCAAUGCCAAGAACGCAAAGUAACUUUGCAAUUAUCAGGUCCCAAUGAAUAUUACGUGUCUUGCUUAGCCAGGUUUUCCACAGGAUGAAUCCUUGGAAGGAAGAUUGCUGAUUUUUCAGGUUGUCCCAUGAGAAAAUUGAGAAUCAGAAACGUGUGGUAUGAACUGCCAGAAACUUAGGGCUUUUUUUUUUUUUUCAAAUAUCAAUGAAACAGUGGUAUACAUAAGAAUCUGAAUUCGCUCGAUCUUUUAACGCUUCAAAAAUCUUGGUUAUGGUGGAAUCGUUAGAGAUUUAGGCUGGCAUUUUCUUUGCAUCUCGUGAUACUUGUGAUUCAAAUGAAGAAGAAAUUUUGAAAUCACUCAAAUUCUUUGUCUUGCAUCAUAGCUAAGAACUUGAAGAGCUCGCUAAAGCUGGAUAAACCGAGAAUGGCCAACACCCACUACAUCUUCAGCAACCGGAUUGCAAAGGCUCAGCGGAGGAAGAGACAGCGGGUGCAAAUCAGCGGGGAGAGAGCCGGCAAAACAAGCAAUUCAAUCAACUUCGCGAGUGGUCAUUGUGCUUCAUUCCUAUUCGUAUUAAAAAUUAUUCAGGUAAUCUAAUGUAUGUUGAUUCCUAAACUUAGGAAAUUUGAAACGGAGAAAAUUUGUCAUGCGAUGUUCCGGGUCUAGUAUGAUAUGAUCAUUUUCAUUACGCAAGAAAACCAUCGAUAUGACUUGCUUCAGCUGCAGCCUUCACUUGACGAUCACCAAAAAUAAUUAGGUAAACGUAUGACCAGCUACGCACAUCUUCAUUUUCCCCAACUCGACGGGUUUCAGAACCAAAGAAUCAUUAGCAGUGCAUGAUCAACAACACUUGAUCCUGCUUUCCCAGGUCUUCGGAGCAAAGGAAAACGGCUGGAUAAACAAUAUGAGCCCCACCCUUUGCAUCUGAACAAAGCUAAGGAAGGCCUGAGAAAAGAAUUGAUGAUGAAGAAUAAUAAUUCUUCUCAAGAACAGGAACUUGUGAAGUUGGUUCCAUCGGAACUCUCUAGUUCGGACACAUCUAGAUUGAUAAGCUUACUGCAAAUAGACUUAAAACUUGAUAUCUCCAUUGAAUAAUUCCUUAAAAGAUUGUUAGAACUAAUAUUAUAAAAUAAUACAAGUUUUAUAUGGAAAUAUUUUUUUUUAAGAAAUUAUGCUUUCAUUAAUGUUGGAUGUAAUAGCAUAUUCUUUUUAUGAUUAAAUAAAACUAAAAAAUGAAAUUUUAUACGGAAAAUAUAAAUAUAGAAUUUUCUUAAAAACAAAGUCGAAAAUAUGAAUAUUUGCAAGUGGUAGUGAAUAAAAAGAGAGACGAUUUCAAAAGGAUGAGAGAAAAUAACUUUAUUUGCUCAUAUAUUUAUAACCUUAAUUUGAAUAGAACAAUGACAGUCAUAUGUCUUGAUCUUUGCAGUUUUUGGUCAUUGUUAUUUCUGAUAUUCAAAUACGAAUUUAAAAUAAAAAAUUAUUAUUAUUAUUAUUUUAAUUUUGAGAAUUGCCCCAAGUGUCUAAAUGCCCAUAUUUACACCUUUUAAAAUUUUAAUUUAUUUAAAGCUAAUUUCUAUUUAUAAUUCGGAGUUCACUCCGAGUCUAAUUAGUUGAUAUUUUAAGAGUUUUAAACACAUAAAAUUUUUCAUAAAUUUUAAAUGUGACUUUUCACAUCAUAUAUAGGCAGGAAAAGCGAAAAAAAACAAAAAAAUGACUAACGAAUUUUGAUAAAUGAAAACAAGUUAACUAUCAAAGUACUCGGCUAACAGCCAACUACAUCUAAUUUUACAUC